CUGUUAUCCCCACGGUAACUUGGUUUAUCCUUUUUAGGGUUAGGUGAAUUUAUUUUUUAAAAAAGAUUUAGUUUUUUGACCACCCCAGUCAAAAUAUUAUUUUAAGUUCGAUGGGGUCUUGUCGUCUUCUAUAAUAAUUUAAGUCUUUUUACUUAAAUGGAAAUUUAAGGAAAUUUGAAUAAUAAAGAGUCCUACUCGUUAAUCCUUUCAUUCUAUCCUUUAAUUAGAAGGCAAAUGAUUAUGCUACCUUAGCACAUAAUAUUGCGGCUAUUUAAUUGUUCAUUGAGCAGGACAUACUAAUUG
rnacentral:rRNA from 1 species